GCGAACGGCCACGUUUUGGCACACGGAGGCGACUUGCAAAGUCUCACGCCAUUCCGAGUCCGGCGGACGAUGUUGGCCAGCCCCACCCCCCAAGGCUAUAGCCCACCCGUUUUUGUGGCAGUUUUCCGCUGGACGAACUUGGCGCCCCGGCCUUCGGGCGGUUAUUUUUGGGCGCGGCUGUGCCCGCUGCCUAUUUUUGGCACACGAAGGCGCCUCUCAAAGUCUCGCGCCAUUCCGAGUCCGGCGGACGAAGUUGGCAAGCCCCACCCCCCAAGGCUAUAGCGCACCCGUUUUUGUGGCCUUUUUCCGCUGGACGAACUUGGCGCCCCGGCCUUCGGGCGGCGGUUAUUUUUGGGCACGGCUGUGCCCGCGGCCUAUUUUUGGCACACGGAGGCGGCUCGCAAAGUCUCGUGCCAUUCCGAGUCCGGCGGACGAAGUUGGCCAGCCCCACCCCCCAAGGCUAUAGCGCACCCGUUUUUGUGGCCUUUUUCCGCUGGAUGAACUAGGCGCCCCGGCCUUCGGGCGGUUAUUUUUGGGCGCGGCUGUGACCACGGCAUAUUUUUGGCACACGGAGAGGCCUCGCAAAGUCUCGCGCCAUUCCGAGUCCGGCGGACGAUGUUGGCAAGCCCCACCCCCCAAGGCUAUAGCCCACCCGUUUUUGUGGGCUUUUUCCGCUGGACGAACUUGGCGCCCCGGCCUUCGGGCGGUUCUUUUUGGACAUGGCUGUGCCCGCGGCCUAUUUUUGGCGCACGGAGGUGCCUCGCAAAGUCUCGCACUAUUCCUAGUCCGCCGGACGAAGUUGGCCAGCCCCACCCCCCAAGGCUAUAGCCCGCCCGUUUUGGUGGCCUUUUUCGGCUGGACGAACUUGGCGCCCCGGCCUUCGGGCGGUUAUUUUUGGGCGCGGCUAUGCGCACGGCCACUUUUUGGCACACGGAGGUUCCUUGCAAAGUCUCACGCCAUUCCGAGUCCGGCGGACGAUGUUGGCCAGCCCCACCCCCCAAGGCUAUAGCCCACCCGUUUUUGUGGCAUUUUUCCGCUGGACGAACUUGGCACCCCGGCCUUCGGGCGGUUAUUUUUGGGCGCGGCUGCACCCGCGGCCUAUUUUUGGCACAUGGGGGCUCCUCGAAAAGUCUCGCGCCAUUCCGAGUCCGGCGGACGAAGUUGGCCAGCCCCACCCCCCAAGGCUAUAGCCCACCCGUUUUUGUGGGCUUUUUCCGCUGGACGAACUUGGCGCCCCGGCCUUCGGGUGGUUAUUUUU
rnacentral:lncRNA from 1 species